rnacentral:rRNA from 1 species
UGCCAGACUCCUACGGGAGGCAGCAGUGGGGGAUAUUGCACAAUGGGGGAAACCCUGAUGCAGCGACGCCGCGUGAGUGAAGAAGUAUUUCGGUAUGUAAAGCUCUAUCAGCAGGGAAGAAGAUGACAGUACCUGAGUAAGAAGCCCCGGCUAACUACGUGCCAGCAGCCGCGGUAAUACGUAGGGGGCGAGCGUUAUCCGGAUUCACUGGGUGUAAAGGGAGCGUAGACGGCCAUACAAGCCAGGGGUGAAAGCCCGGGGCCCAACCCCGGGACUGCCCUUGGAACUGCAUGGCUGGAGUGCGGGAGGGGCAGGCGGAAUUCCUGGUGUAGCGGUGAAAUGCGUAGAUAUCAGGAGGAACACCGGUGGCGAAGGCGGCCUGCUGGACUGCAACUGACGUUGAGGCCCGAAAGCGUGGGGAGCAAACAGGAUUAGAUACCCCCGUAUAU